CACUACACCAAUGAAGCUCUAAAACAAGUGCUUCAAGCAAUUGCACGACCAACACCUGAUGAAAAAUGCAUUUGCAUGAAAAUAGGACAAAGGAGAAAUGAAACAGAGAAGAGAAGGAGGAAGAGGGAACGUGAUACUUGAAAAUGGUAGCCCUGAAACGAAGGAGCCUUACAACAUGAGGCAAUGCCUCAUGCACUAAUGAAAACGGCAAACUGAAACGAAGAAGUAGAGACACAACAAUGGUGAAGGAGAAAUGCAAAGUGAAAUUAGUUUUCAAAACUUUUUUCAGGACUCAUAGAGCGGUUAACCUAAAAAGCGCUAUGUAUUGGGUCCCAAUACAUAGGACUUAUUUAAAAAAGUGAUAUUUAUUGUG
rnacentral:lncRNA from 1 species